AAUUCAAAACACUGUUUGUUUGGUGUACAGUCUCCCCUUCCCCCAUAACUUAACUUUUCUGCUUAGCGACCCUGCAAAUACAAACACAACACACGAAACCUCUCUUCUUUCUCAUGAGAACCACCUCUCUCUUUCCAUUCUUAUUUCUUCAUUCUUCACCUCAACCUUCAACUUUCUUCUUCUUCUACUUUUGAUUCUCAAAAACCUCAAGCAUUUUUCGGUUAUUCAAAUGUCAUCUGUUGCUUUCUAGUUGGGUUCUUUGUCAACUGAAGAUAUGAAGGUUUCUAAGAAUCUUGAUGGAGAUAAGUUUAUGGGUUUCAAUAUUUCGUUGAAAAAUGUGAAAAAGGUAUGAAUCUUGAUGAAUGUUACACAAUGGGUUCAAGAUCGGGGUUGUUUUGAAUGUAAGACAAUGAGUGAGAGAAUGAGAAAGUUAGGGUUUUGAUUUUGUUGGUGUUGAUAAUGAAAAAGGGAUAAUUUGUGGUUAAGAUUUCUAAAAUAGAAAAUUGGUAUGAUGACUUUGAGUGAUGAUAUAUGAUUUUCUAGGAAUUAUGAAUGAUAUGUUAUGGGUAUUAUGUUUAUAUUGAUUUAUAUCUAAAAUAAUUGUUUUAUUUGAUGAUGAUGAUGAUGAAGAUGAUGUUUGAAUAUUUAUGCAUUUCUAUUAAAUGUUUAAUAUGUCAGGAUCAUGAAGAAGCUGAAGAGAUAUAGAGUUUCUGGAAUCCUAUCCUAUGGACUUUUAAACACUGCAUACUAUCUCACAACAUUUCUUUUUGUAUGGUAUGUGAAAAUUUCUGAAAUGCGAGUUUGGUAAGGAAUUGUAAAGUCACUGAGUCUUGGAAUAUGCAUUGUGUUUGUUCAGUGUUGUCAAUGGCAAAUAGCAGAAAAUAGUGUUUCAUUCAAAUUCCGCUGCGCAAUAGUGCUAUAGUACCAUUAUUUGAUAACAUUUUAUACUAAACAGUGUAUCGUGAAACAAUAACAAUAUGUUCAAAUUCUGCUAUGGUAUAAGUAGUAUAGUGCUACCAUUUAACAACAUUGUGUUUGUUAGGUUUUACAUUGCACCAUCACCUAGAAACAUGGGUUAUCGUCUAGCUGUAGAAAGGUAAGAACAUUGUCCUUUUAAUUUUAUCACUUAUGGGUUAUUGAUAUGAUAUAAAAAACCUUCACGAUGAUGUAGAUUUCUCAAACUGUUGGCGAUGGUUUGGGCCUGUAGUCAAGUCACUAAGCUUUAAGAGCUGUCGGGUGAGCUGCCUGAAACCUUUUACAUUGUUAAUUGUCCAAUGCACUUAGAUUUUGUUGUUACCUAAGCUUAUAAAUUUGAUCUAUUAUGCAUCCAUUUGUGAGGUUAGUACAAUGACAACCAAUUGAAAGAAUGAAUUUAGUUAUCAUGCAGAGCGUUGGCAAUAGCACCUUUUUCUAUUGUCUUCUUCCUGCAAAGAAAAUAAAGGAUCCCGAGGCCAAGAAGCCAGAAGAUCGACUCUUACAACAAGCAUCAUUUCAACCAAGCAUAGAAACUGUCACUUUCAAAUUGUUGAUUGUGGGGGAAAAGAAAAUCUGUGAUCAAAGAUAGAGGGGCUUGACAGUGCUUUAUGUUACUAGAUUUAGUCAAUAAAUCAACUUGUAGUUUUAUUGAACCAUCAUAGAAUUGUAGCUUUCUGUUACUACAUUUGGCUAUUUUAUUUCACCACCGAUGUGUGUGUUUGAUACUUACUGUUAGGUGAAUGUAGAAGGAAGCAACAUGGGUGAACCAAUUGAUUUCAACAAACUCGAAGGAACUUGGUGGCUCCAAUAUACUUCUGCUUCUGAUGUUCUCAUUCUAUUCCAAGCUGAUGUUACACUUCCUUUCUUUCAAGUAUGCUAUUACUAAACUUUAACUAUUCCAAGCUGCUGCCACACUUCCUGCACAUGUGAAUGUGAUAUAUGCCUCAGUCUCCUAUCACUAGAAAGGUUGCCUUUACGAGUCGCGACAACGUCGUAAAGUUGUGGAAAUAAAUAUCAGACAUUUUAUGAUACACUACUUAUAUAUGUUUAUCUGAUUUGGUAAGAUGUUGAUAUUGAUAUAUUUACUAACAUACUUUGAUAUCGGGCGAUUUAGGUUUGUGACUAGAAAUUUGUGAUCCUCCAUAUGCGGCUGCCACUGAUCUGCAAUUUCUGCAACAUUAGAAAACUGUGAUUAACAUGUAUAAUCCUAAUCCUCAGGAAGUUAAUUGCAGUCAAUAGUAGGGAAAUUGCGGCAAUGCGGAGGAGAGCAGCCGCUUUUGGCAACAACACGUCACUGUUGCAGCUGCAUCAGAUGCAUUUAUAAUGUUAAAAAGGUGGCUACUUUAUUGUGUUUUUGUUUUCAAUUGAAUUUUUUCAAGAGUGUCAUUCCUUUGUUAAAAAAAUAAAGUGUUCUUACCAAUACUUUAAACAAUAAUGUAUAUAAAAAUAGAGUGUCAUUCCUUUUUGUUUUCAAUUGAAUUUUUUCAAGAGUGUCAUUCCUUUGUUAAAAAAAUAGAGUGUUCUUACCAAUACUCUAAUUCUCACAAUUUUGACAAAUUAUUGUUAAUCUUAAGUUGUAACAAUCUAUGUCAUGAUUAUCUUUUUAGGGAUAUUCUCCUCUAAGCUCACCAGGAGUACUUAAAAGUGACAUUCUGCAAGUGGAUAGCUUUAGCCUUAUUUGACUAAUCUUCAUUUUCUACUUUAUAUUGUGUCAACCUGCAUGUCUUAUCUUUAUAUUAUAAGGGGCAAAGUCAUUUCAAAGGACAUGGAAAUUUAGAUAAGUUUUAUGAAUUACAUUAAUUUUUUAGGAUAUGAUCUAUUUUGGGUAUGAGUUAUUGUGUGUUAGUUUAUACUGACAGUGAUCAAGAAGUUGUUAGUUGGUUCUAAAAAUAUUAAUAAAAUUAUGGCUUUGUGACAAAUCUCACCCUGUUUAUAAUCUAAAACUCGCAUGCAUUCACAUAUAAGUGGUGAUUAACAUUGUACGGGGUGCAAUAAUGCCAUAAUGAAAUGCAAUCACUAAGUCUCCUUUAUUAUCUUCUUCACUGAUGGUGAAUUUGACUUUCAGCAUUUAUACAUAUCCAUAAAAGCAAGAUAACAGUUGAUAUAUUCAUUCAUACUUCAGCAACUUUUUACAUAUUCAUUUACUUGAACAAAACCCCUAUUAAACCUUCCAUUAUAUAUUCGGUCCUUAAUUAUCUAUCCAAAUCUGCCGAAAGAACCCGAAUUUGACUUGACUGAUGGUGUUGUGGAUUCUGGUUCUCACAUAUCUGAAGUGGUAGAAAUAGAAUGACAUGCCAUACAUAAUGUUGAAAUGAAAUAAUAUGGGUGAAAAUAUAUUUUAAAGAGUUAGUAGAUUUAGUAUGUAAUGACGAAUGCUCUUAAUAUUAUAUGAUGUCCCUGUAUGACAAUACAUUUAUUGUGUUACAUAAUAUUGAAACUCAAACUCA